UUCCUGGCACUGGAUUCCACGGGCUGUGGGUCGAUUAUAAGCUUGUCUGUCUCGUGUCAACACAUCAAUGAACGUUACACAAAAUAGGCCACAUCAUGUUGUUUAGGAAUUAGGAAAAUGAACUUUCAAAUUUACUAAUUUUAUUUCUGAACGAAUUAUUCAGUUAAUUCUUUUAUUUUUGUAGUAUAAAGGUAAUAGGUAAAAGAGGUAUUCCUAUGCAUUUUUGAAAAGAACAAAAUUUUUUCAUACAAAUAUUUAAUUAUUAUUAUUUUUUAUUUUUUAUCCAUCUGCAAUCAGCCUCAUGGCUUUUAUCAGAUUUUAUGAGAAAUAAUGGCAAUUAGGGAACGCAAAUCCAAUAAUUUUUGUAUCAUAACUGUCAGACUGCGGCAAGUUUUACCUUAUUCAGCCGAUACACACUGUCCGUCGUUUCCAAGAGGCCCGAAGCUAGGAGGUUGACGUGUUGUUAAAGUCUCAUUUUGUACAUAUGUAUAUAUAUAUUUAAUGAAAAAGUAUUUUACGUUAUCGAUACUUUAACAAAUUCACGAAAUUUUUGUCGAUUCUCAUGCUGUUUUAAAUUUCUAACCAAUCUCUUGAUGUUUUUCAGAGGCAAUAAUGGGCCGUAAAGCAGUAGUAGCAGUGUGCACCCUUAAUCAAUGGGCUCUGGACUUUGAAGGCAAUUUUAACCAGGAUUCUUGAAUCUAUUCAAAAAGAAAAGGAGAUGGGUGCAUUAUAUCGUACUGGGCUGAAUCGCAAGUAUUAGAUGACGUACGUAGAGUUAUAUGUGAUUUUAAUUAUACGCCCAAAGACCCUAAAGAGCUAUGCAAUAAAUUGCUCGUUACUUGUUAUAUGGCUUCGAAAAACUCUAGCGAAGAAACUAAGCUACGAGCUAAGGAGUUGGCGAGUGAAAUAGGCAGUUAUCACUUUCCGAUAAUAAUUGAUACAGCUGUAUUGG